CAACCAUUCAUCCAUCCAAACCAUCUGUCCCAAGUGUCAGUGACUCCUGAAUUUUUCUUUAGCUCGUCUGCAAGACUAUCUGGCUUCUCUAUGGCCAUAGUUACCUUACCAUUGGGCCCAGUGUUGUCUGGAAUGUAUGUACAGCAUGUCAUGGUCUCAGGGAGGAUCUUACAUACUCCCCCUUUCUCAGCUAAAAUCAUGUCUAAGGCCAUUCUGUUCUGAAAUGUCAUUUGAGUAGUGGCUUGUAAUUGUUCUGCUAGGCCCUGUAGGGCAUCCCUUGUGUAGUUAACGAAGCGCUGCUGAUUAUAAUAGAUGUAGUUGAUCCAAUUGACAUUUUUGUUAGCAGUUAUCAUUGGAAUUAGGGAUUCAAAUCCUGCAGCCACUUCAUCUCUUGCUUUGAAUUCGUUAGGCACCCCCCUUGGCACACCUAUGGC